rnacentral:rRNA from 1 species
UACAGAGGGGGCAAGCGUUGUUCGGAAUUACUGGGCGUAAAGGGCUCGUAGGCGGCCCGCUAAGUCGAACGUGAAAUCCCCGAGCUCAACUCGGGAACUGCGUCCGAUACUGGCGGGCUUGAAUCCGGGAGAGGGAUGCGGAAUUCCAGGUGUAGCGGUGAAAUGCGUAGAUAUCUGGAGGAACACCGAUGGCGAAGGCGGCAUCCUGGACCGGCAUUGACGCUGAGGCGCGAAAGCUAGGGGAGCAAACGGG